rnacentral:rRNA from 1 species
CUACGGGGUGCUCCAGUGAGGAAUAUUGGUCAAUGGGCGCAAGCCUGAACCAGCCACUCCGCGUGUAGGAUGACUGCCCUAUGGGUUGUAAACUACUUUUAUACAGGAAGAAACCUCCAUACGUGUAUGGAGCUGACUGUACUGUAAGAAUAAGCAUCGGCUAACUCCGUGCCAGCAGCCGCGGUAAUACGGAGGAUGCAAGCGUUAUCCGGAUUUAUUAGGUCUAAAGGGUGCGUAGGCGGAUAUUUAAGUCAGUGGUGAAAUCCUACAGCUUAACUGUAGAACUGCCAUUGAUACUGGAUGUCUUGAGUUUAGUUGAGGUAGGCGGAAUGUGUAGUGUAGCGGUGAAAUGCUUAGAUAUUACACAGAACACCGAUUGCGAAGGCAGCUUACUAAGCUAACACUGACGCUGAGGCACGAAAGCGUGGGGAGCGAACAGGAUUAGAUACCCUGGAGUC